rnacentral:rRNA from 1 species
AUUGAACGCUGGCGGCAGGCCUAACACAUGCAAGUCGAGCGGAUGAAGGGAGCUUGCUCCUGGCUUCAGCGGCGGACGGGUGAGUAAUGCCUAGGAAGCUGCCCGGUAGUGGGGGAUAACGUCCGGAAACGGGCGCUAAUACCGCACACGUCCUGAGGGAGAAAGGGGGGGAUCUUCGGAGCACACGCGAUCAGAUGAGCCUAGGACGCAUUAGCUAGUUGGUGGGGUAAAGGCCUACCAAGGCGACGAUCCGUAACGGGUCUGAGAGGGUGAUCAGUCACACUGGAACUGAGACACGGUCCAGACUCCUACGGGAGGCAGCAGUGGGGAAUAUUCCACAAUGGGCGAAAGCCUGAUCCAGCCAUGCCGCGUGUGUGAAGAAGGUCUUCGGAUUGUAAAGCUCUUUAAGUUGGGAGGAAGGGAAGUAAGUUAAUCUCUUGCUGUUUUGACGUUACCAACAGAAUAAGCACCGGCUAACUUCGUG